CGGGAAGAGAAAGAAAUGCAAGGAUUUUCUCCAGUUACAAUCUAACAUAGCUAGCUAAUUUAUAUGAAAUUAUAUUUUGUAGAAGGAACGUAGACCGCUAACUGAAUAGGUGAGUUUUUCAAUCUGGAUCAAUGGCUCUACCAACCCUCUCUGCCCACAUUGGCCGAGUCGAGUUCGUUCUCUGGAAAGCCAGAUGGUGCGGCAGGGGGAACAGGAGGCACGUUGGCGGCAACACUGGGAGCUGCACGCAAUGCACUAAAGACAACAACAGAACAUUGAGGAGUACUGCAGACUCCUGCCAGACCUGUUGUAGUAGGAGCAGGGGGACCAGAGGCUGGAGAGGGCGGUGGCAGACGCCGCCAGGAAGAAGCAUGUCAUCGAGGAAUAGCUCCAGUUGGAGAGGUGGUGGGAGGCUGUUUGCUGUCCUGUACAGGGAGAAGUCCCAGCGUGUUUGGGAGAAGUUGGAGGCAGAGUAGGAGAGGAGAGCCAGGGAGAGGCUCAUGCAGGAGGUGGCGCAGUGGGAGGAGCAGCGCCAGAGGGGGCAGGUGAAGGAGAGGGAUGCUCUAAGGCUGCAGGAGGAAAAGCGGAGGCUGGAGACUCGUAGGAUGGCCCAGCAGGGCUACCAGGACAUGAUUUUUAGCAGACCUGAUCAGCCUGGACAUGAGGAUACCGUGAGGCCAAAAGACACUCCUAUCAUGUUUUUAUACACAAUUAUUCUUAACGGGUUUAAGAUGUGUCAAGUAUUCCUACACCAUGCUUAUAUCAGCUGCUGCAUGUGGUGGUUGUAAGGUAUGUUACAUAUUUAGCAAACUGGUUUAAGGGUGUUGUAAUCCUGGUGUGGUUUUAUGUUUUUCUGAUGGAAUAGUUUUUUACAUUAACAUAAUUUCUUUCUUUGCACGUUUCUCUACACAUCAGUUGCACAGUACGUGGCCAAAUACGACAUGGCAUGAGGUUACAAUUAUAAAUUAAGUUUAUUUAAAAAAAAUAAGGCUUCCCCCCCAACUGUAGCUAUGAUUACUGCACAACUGACACCUGUUAUGAAGUCCAUUCAGAACAAGAGUCAAGCAGAGGGACAUUUCCUUGAUUACAUUUCAAGUAUAACACAGCUCUGAACCAUAUGCUGACGACAACCAGCCACUUGUGGAAAUAUCUACAAUCCAAUUAGCUGCACAUGUCAUAAAGCUAGCAGCAUUAUAGAACGGAGCACAAACACACAUGGAAGAGGGCAAAUGAUUAUUUGCGCUGCAAAUCUAUCCACUGUCACAGUACUAACACUGUUCUAGCACAAGACUGUGUCUAGCAUCUUAGCUUAUAAAUAAAAAAUUCACUAGAACUCAAUACAAGUACAACAUAUUGCUGGUGAAGAGCAUCAUUUGCCCCCCUGAACUAGUGUUGAAAUGCAAUAAUAGAUGGCUCUAGUAGAUGCAGUUUGAAAUUAAAGCAAUUACACUUGGACGGGGGAGACAU